GGCAGUUUGUUGCAGCUUUAUUGCAUUAAGUUUGUUUCUUUCAUUAGACAAAAAAAAGUCAGUCAUUACAUUUGCCCAGCCCUCUUUUAGUACAAGGCUGUGAUUUUACUGCUGCAACAAACAUUUCCAGACAACAGAGAAAGGACAGUCAUGAUGCUUGCAGUUUUCCUCUUUCUGCUCACCCUCACAGGUAGAAGUACAUCCAAUUACACAGAGCCACCGGAGCAACAUGAUGAUCAACAGAACUUCAAUCAGAGCUCUGAAAAAAUAAAUAGGGAUUCCUCUGAGGGUAAAUGUGGUUAUCAGGAUGUUUUGAACCACCUGAACCUGACCAAAAAAA